GACGAACGCUGGCGGCGUGCCUAAUACAUGCAAGUAGAACGCACAGUUUAUACCGUAGCUUGCUACACCAUAGACUGUGAGUUGCGAACGGGUGAGUAACGCGUAGGUAACCUGCCUGGUAGCGGGGGAUAACUAUUGGAAACGAUAGCUAAUACCGCAUAAUAUUAAUUAUUGCAUGAUAAUUAAUUGAAAGGUGCAAUUGCACCACUACCAGAUGGACCUGCGUUGUAUUAGCUAGUAGGUGAGGUAACGGCUCACCUAGGCGACGAUACAUAGCCGACCGGAGAGGGUGAUCGGCCACACUGGGACGGGGACACGGCCCAGACUCCUACGGGAGGCAGCAGUAGGGAAUCGUCGGCAAUGGACGAAAGUCUGACCGAGCAACGCCGCGUGAGUGAAGAAGGUUUUCGGAUCGUAAAGCUCUGUUGUAAGAGAAGAACGGGUGUGAGAGUGGAAAGUUCACACUGUGACGGUAUCUUACCAGAAAGGGACGGCUAACUACGUG
rnacentral:rRNA from 1 species